rnacentral:rRNA from 1 species
GAUGAACGCUGGCGGCGUGCCUAAUACAUGCAAGUCGAGCGAACAGAUAAGGAGCUUGCUCCUUUGACGUUAGCGGCGGACGGGUGAGUAACAAGUGGGUAACCUACCUAUAAGACUGGAAUAACUCCGGGAAACCGGGGCUAAUGCUGGAUAACAUGUUGAACCGCAUGGUUCUACAGUGAAAGGCGGCUUUGCUGUCACUUAUAGAUGGACCCGCGGCGUAUUAGCUAGUUGGUGAGGUAACGGCUCACCAAGGCAACGAUACGUAGCCGACCUGAGAGGGUGAUCGGCCACACUGGAACUGAGACACGGUCCAGACGCCUACGGGAGGCAGCAGUAGGGAAUCUUCCGCAAUGGGCGAAAGCCUGACGGAGCAACGCCGCGUGAGUGAUGAUGGUCUUCUGAUCGUAAAACUCUUUUAUUAGGGAAGAACAAAUGCGUAAGUAACUGUGCGCGGCUUGACGGUACCUAAUCAGAAAGCCACGGCUAACUACGUG